CCCUUAGACGUUCUGGGCCGCACGCGCGCUACACUGACCAGUGCAACAAGCAUCCGUCCUUGGCCGACAGGCCCGGGCAAUCUUUGAACGCUGGUCGUGAUGGGGAUAGACUUUUGCAAUUUUUGGUCUUCAACGAGGAAUUCCUAGUAAACGCAAGUCAUCAACUUGCAUUGAUUACGUCCCCGCCCUUUGUACACACCGCCCGUCGCACCUACCGAUUGAAUGGUCCGGUGAAGCCUCCGGAUUGGCGCGCACCUCGGUGCCGCCGAGAAGUUGGCUAAACCUUACCAUUUAGAGGAAGGUGAAGUCGUANCA
rnacentral:rRNA from 1 species